rnacentral:rRNA from 1 species
CAAUAGCGUAUAUUUAAGUUGUUGCAGUUAAAAAGCUCGUAGUUGGAUUUCGGAUGGGACUUGCCGGUCCGUCGUUUCGAUGUGCACUGGCCAGUCCUAUCUUGUUGUCGGGGACUAGCUCCUGGGCUUCACUGUCCGGGACUAGGAGCUGACGAGGUUACUUUGAGUAAAUUAGAGUGUUCAAAGCAAGCCUACGCUCUGAAUACAUUAGCAUGGAAUAACACGAUAGGACUCUGGCUUAUCUUGUUGGUCUGUGAGACCAGAGUAAUGAUUAAGAGGGACAGUCGGGGGCAUUCGUAUUUCAUUGUCAGAGGUGAAAUUCUUGGAUUUAUGAAAGACGAACGUCUGCGAAAGCAUUUGUCAAGGAUGUUUUCAUUAA